CAUUCUAACGUUUGGAUUUGUUUUGAGUUCUGCCCUAUUUUCUUAAAGAAGUCCAAAAUUCUCAAUGAAAAUUGCAUAAAUCACCUCCAAAUGUAACGCUAAUUUAAAUAAAAAACCUUCUAAGUGAGUAAUCUGUGAUUUUCCUAGGGUGACUGAGCAAAAACUCCCCGAAUUUGAAGGUUACAUUUAGGGAUCCCAUGAAUUAAGCUAAUAUACUAGUAAAGCUCUAAUCCAAGGCAUGUCUUUAACAUGUCCCCAUGCAAGACAACCUCAGAAUGACCUCGACAAGGGUGCCCCACAAAAAAAUGCCCAAAGAAACUAACUUCGACAUUUGGAAACACAGUAAAUGGAGAACAGUGGAUAGACCUAGAUAGUUUCACUUGAAAGAACAUUCCAUGUGCCAUAGUUUUAAGCCAUAGUAAUUAUAGUUUGCCAUAAUGGCCGAGGAUGACAGGCCCCUGCUCGGCAGCAGCUCCUCAGCACAUUUUAACUCGGUGUCAAUUAGGCAAAGGGUAAAGCGAGGAGUGAAGAAAAGUUCUGUAUAUAUUUUUGGCCCUUCAACAUUGAAGAAGUGUGUUGUUGCCGUUGUAUUGUUUACUGUGGUGCUUAUAAUUAUUUAUUCAAGGCAGACAAGAUCUCCAUAUCUUUCUAGGUUUAUAAAGACAAAUACUCGUCCAGAACCUAAUAUAAGAUGUGGAGUAAUGAACGGCCCUCGAAUUUUACAAAAUCACGAUCAUCAGACUGACGCCCGACUUAGGAGUUACCCAAAAGUGUUGAUAUUUGUAGAAACUAUAUACUCGAAAUUGGGAAGGGAUAUUGCUGAACUACUUGUCCAUACUAGAAUUAAAUAUAAAGUGGAAGUGACAGGAAAAAGCUUGCCAGUCCUAACCAACCUAGACAAAGGCCGCUAUGGCGUUAUUGUCUUUGAAAAUUACAAUAAAUACUUGCAGAUGGACAACUGGAACCGGGAACUUUUAGACAAAUAUUGCCGGGAAUAUUCGGUGGGGAUUAUCGGGUUUAUACCAUCCGAGGAAGAUACUUAUGUGGGGUCCCAGCUGAAAGGGUUUCCCUUGUUUAUUCAUACAAACCUGAAGCUGAGGGACGCAGCACUCAAUCCGGCUUCGCAAGUCUUAAGGCUGACACGAGCUGGGGAAACUGUGUGGGGUGAGCUGCCUGGGAACGAUUGGACCGUUUUUCAAGCCAACCAUUCUACUUAUGAACCGCUGGAGUGGGCUCAUAGAAAUGACUUUUUUCAGUAUAAUGAUAGUGGUAUUAAAACCCCGUUGCCCACAGUGAUCCAGGACCAUGGCAUUUACGAUAACAUUCAAAGGAUAAUUUUCGGUUCUGGUUUGAGAUUUUGGUUGCACCGGUUGCUGUUCUUGGACAGUUUGAGUUACUUGAGCCACGGACAGUUAAGUUUGUCCCUGGACCGGUCGAUUUUGGUCGAUAUCGACGAUAUUUUUGUGGGAGAAAUGGGAACUAGGAUGAAACCUGACGACGUAGAGGCGCUCAUUGGGGCACAAGAACGGCUUGCCGCAAUGGUGCCGGGCUUCAAAUUUAAUCUCGGUUUCUCCGGGAAAUAUUUUCAUCAUGGCAACAGCGAGGAAGAUAAAGGGGACGACCUGAUUUUGGAGCACGUCGACAAAUUCAUGUGGUUCUCGCAUAUGUGGAACCAUCAACAGCCGCACUUGUACGACAAUCUCACUUUGCUCACCGAGGAUAUGGCUCUUAAUAGGAACUUUGCUAAACAGAAUGGUAUCCCGGUUGAUUCCGGAUAUUCCAUAUCGCCUCAUCACUCCGGAGUCUAUCCCGUUCACGAUUUACUAUAUAUCGCCUGGAAAAAGGUCUGGAACAUUCGGGUGACUUCUACCGAAGAAUAUCCGCAUCUCCGACCAGCUAGGCUUAGAAGGGGAUUCAUACACAGAAAUAUUAUGGUGUUGCCGCGUCAAACGUGCGGCUUAUUUACCCAUACGAUGUAUAUAGACAGAUACCCGGGCGGUAGGGCUAAACUGGACGAGAGUAUACAGGGCGGAGAGCUUUUUCAGACAUUAGUUUAUAAUCCGAUCAACAUAUUUAUGACCCACAUGUCAAAUUAUGGCAACGACAGACUGGGUCUGUACACCUUCGAAUCCGUAAUAAAGUUUCUACAGUGUUGGACGAAUAUAAGACUGACAUCGGCGCCCCCUUUGCAGUUGGCCGAGAAUUAUUUUAAGUUGUACCCCGGAGAGGCGGAUCCUAUUUGGGGGAACCCUUGUGACGACGUACGACAUCAGAAAAUCUGGUCGAGGCACAAAUCCUGCGAUUCGCUGCCGAAAUUCUUGGUGAUCGGCCCGCAAAAAACCGGAACUACGGCCCUGUACACUUUUCUCUCGCUACAUCCCGCUAUAGCGAGUAAUUUGCCCAGUCCGACCACUUUUGAGGAAAUCCAGUUUUUUAACGCGCACAAUUAUUUGAGAGGGCUGGACUGGUACAUGAACUUCUUUCCGUCAGAGGCGAACUCCUCCACCCGCUACUAUUUCGAAAAAAGCGCGACGUACUUCGACGGCGAAUUAGUACCGAAAAGGGUGCACGCCCUGUUGCCGCACGCUAAACUUAUUACCAUAUUGAUAUCGCCGGCUAAAAGGGCGUAUUCGUGGUACCAACAGACUAAAGCGCACGGCGAUAUUAUUACCAAUAAUUAUAAUUUCCAUCAAGUGAUCACCGCUAGCGAUACGGCUCCGAAACCCCUGAGAGAUUUAAGAAAUAGAUGCCUAAAUCCGGGAAAAUACGCGCAACAUUUGGAGCGUUGGAUGUCCUACUUUUCCCCCCAGUCCAUACAUAUAAUCGAUGGGGAGGAACUCAAGUCCAACCCGGUAGAGGUCAUGAACGAGCUGCAGAAGUUCUUAAAAAUUAGCCCGUUUUUCAAUUAUAUGGAGCAUUUAAGGUUCGACAAGAAAAAAGGUUUCUACUGUCAAGUGGUAAAACGUAACAGUACGAAAUGCCUCGGCCGUAGCAAAGGCCGCAACUAUCCUCCGAUGGAGGAAAAAUCGUUAAAAUACCUGCAGAGGUACUACCUAAGCCAUAACACUGCCUUAGUGAAACUGUUCAAGAAAAACGGCAUCAGGAACAUUCCCAAUUGGCUAAAAGAGGAUUUGAGCGAUCGAAACGAUACGGACAGUUAGUUUUAAUUAGCGCAGCUACUAUUUAUUUCCUUAUUUGUGCCACCCGUGAGUUUUAUUUGUACAUAAUAAUAUUUUUUUUUAAUGAGCCGACAUAUCAUCGAGAAGCAAUAGCCCCCCUUCGAUUUUUUUUCUUAUAUAGGCAUAGUGCAAUAAACGUCCAAUAAUUAGAGCUUAUUAAACUUACUAAAAAAAAAUAUAUAUAUAUAAUAUAACCCGUCGUCGUUGUUGAAUGUUGAUAGUUAGAACAGCAGUUACGUUUUUUUGUCAUGUAGGCAGGACUUACAGUAAAAAAAAAACGGUUUUAGUCCAGGUCAUUUAGGAUAUAGGGCCAAAGAUUUCAAGUAUAUUAUUCUGCUUUUUAUGCUCAAGUCUUUGAUGGUGAAUUUAACUGCACAGUUUGUAUCGUUAUGAACUUUGGCAAGGCAAAUUUUCUCUUGCUUUUUAUUUAAAGCAGCUAUAAAACAGUUAUAUUAUGAGUUUCAAAGGAAAUCGUUUAAAUGCCUUUUAAAUCAUUACUUUAGCUCAGUUUUCUUGGAUAUUAGGCAAAAAAUGAUGAAGGUUCAAGGACAUUUUUAAUUUGCGAUAAAGAUAUUAACAUAGAUAUCAAGCGCUUAUAAUUUUACACUUCAUUUUUAACAUAAAACAUAUAUUAUGUAAUUCUUUAACGCGUUAUAGAAUAACACUAAAAAUUUAACUUGAUGUGUUAUCUUAGGCAGCAUAGAUUAUGGGAAUAUAAAUAUAUCUCAAACAAUUAGUUAUUAUGUUAUAUCUUGUACGAUUUUGACUGCGUUAUAAGAUACCUAUAGAAUCUUUCUAAAUAAUUGUAUACAUGCUCAUAAAAUACACUUAAACCACAUCAGCACUGUUUGUUUGCAAAUGCAUCACAUUUUGUUUGAAAUUUAACGUGAAAUACAAUUUUGGCACAAAGUAACACCCAUGCUCUAUUUAUAUACAAAAAAUAUAUAAUAUUAAAAUUUUAAAUAAGGAUAUUUGAUAGAUAAAAACACAUAAAUAAUUACAAAAUAACUUUUAUUUUACAUGUCUAAAUGCUUUUAUGCAAAAUAUUAACAAAAUGUUAAAUUAAUAUGUAGGUAACUUUAAACAAAAGAAAACUAAGUAAUAAAACUGGUGGUAAAUAAUAUAUGACACACCUGUGAUUACACAACAAAAUCACUUAACUCUGGAAUGUCAAAUUUCCUCAUUUCUAUAAAAUAUCUCGUCUUUCUUUUGAGGCCACUUCCACUGCUUUCCAACACGUUCCAUCACAUUUACUGUCGCUCCUAUGUUGUAUACGGUCGUAACUUGACCUGGAAAAUACUUUCCUUCAAAUUUAACAACGACGUACUUUCCCUCUGACUUUUCCGCUUUUUGGGCCACAGUUCUUUCUUCAAGUACCGGUUCAUCUUCAUCACUGGAAAAAUGUUCAUCCCAUGGACUGUCAUCACUUUCCAUGUAUUUAAUUUGGUCCUGAUUUUCACUGGAACUAUCUGAUGUUGAUCCAUUAUCUCGACCGCUUUUUAGGCGUUUCUUUUGUUGGAUGCCGGAGGGUCCAGGUUGUUGGUCAUCGUUGUUUUGCGUAUUCUCAGCAGAAAUUGGAGCAGAUGGGAUGUUAAAAUAGCUACUACUUAUGCUUUUACCUGGUGGAAGGUUUAGGCGCUUUCUUCUUUCGAUCUGCCUCCCUUACAGACCGUCAGUCCUUACAUUGGUAAGGUGUUGAAUAAAACUAUUACCCACAACCUCAGCUAUUUUGGUAUCUGCUGUUACAAUACGAGUGCAUAAACGGUCCGUGACCUCGUUUUGAUCUAAAGGAUAAAUGCCUGUCUUUCUAAAACCAGAUCUUAAGCUAUCAGGUCCUCUUUCUUCUAACUGACUCAUCAGCUUUUUUAAAAGGCUUGGAAAUUCAUCCUUUGGUAUGGAAGAGACUCUGCUGCCGUAGUUGCUUGCCUUCCACUCGUUUAAAAUUUUGCGCCAUUUUUCCUUCAUUGAGCGGAAAAAGGCCACGUCAAGUGGUUGGAGUAGAUGCGUUGUAUUAGGAGGUAAAGGUAUAAAGCGAAUAUUAUUAGCUUCACAUGCUUGAAUGACCUGCUGAUUUAAAUGCGAGCUAAGAUUAUCUCCUAUAAGGGCCUUUCACCCCUCUUGCCGUUUUAAUAUUGGCAGCAUAAGAUUUAACAACCAUUUCUCAAAAACUUGGUAGUCAAACCAUCCCGAAGCCGUUCUAUUAUAUCGUGCGUUUGCGGGUCCAUUUUCAAUCCAUGUAUUCCAUAAUUUUUGAGAUUUAUAAUUAAUAUAAAGUGGAGCCAAUUGACCCUCGGCAUUUCCGCAUACCAUUAGAGAAGCACAGGCUUUGGAAGAGUUCCUGAUUCGCUCAGGGUACUUUGUUCCUCUUUUGGUUAUUAUUUUUGUCUGGCCUGGGUCGUCAACAAGGUUUGUUUCGUCAUAAUUCCAAAUAUUUUCUGCAGGAAUUCCUUCUCUCAGUUCUUCAACUCAGCCUCCAAAUUAUCAAAGAAAUUUUUUACAGUUUCUUCAUCAGUGGCAGUCGUAGCAUGUGUAAGGCCCAGCGCCCACAGAAGUGGUAUUGGCUUAUGGCGUGGCAGUGGUGUGGCACCGACGUGGCAGCGGCCUGGCGUUUUGACGCCUACUAAAGUGGCACAGAAGCAGCACACAAAAUGCAAAUUUAGUCAUUACUACAAUGUCGUCUUCAGAGGACGAAGAUGUUCUUGCUUUAGUGCAUUUAAAUAAUAUUCAAAGAAGACGAUAUUGGGUACAUCCUUUAUGGAAAAAGAAAAACAAAAAAUAUGGCAGCUUUAAUGUAUUUAAAGAGCUAAAUCAGUAUCCAGAACGGUUUCAGUCUUUUUAUCGAAUGUCUAAAGACUGUUUUACUCGGCUACUAAACAUAAUAAAACCAAAAAUAACUAAAAAGAAUACAAACUGGAGAAAUUGUGUUAGUGCAGAAGAGCGAUUAUUAAUAACUCUUAGAUACUUUGCCACGGGCUCAUCUUUCAAGUCCUUACAAUUUUAUUUUUUAAGGGGACAUACAACAAUACGAAAAAUUGUUUAUCACACAGCUAAGAUGUUAUGGUUGGAUAUCGCUGAACGCUUUUAUAGUCUAUGGAAUUUACCUAAUUGUAUUGGGAGCAUUGACGGCAAACACAUUAGGAUAAAAGCACCCCCAAAUUCAGGAUCUGCAUUCCACAACUAUAAAGGUUUUUUUUCUAUAGUGCUGUUAGCUGUUGUCGGCGCAGAUGGCUUAAUUAUUUCUGUAGAUGUGGGUGAAUAUGGCCGCAACAGCGAUGGGCGUGCGUUAAAAGAAAGUAAAUUUGGAAAGUGUCUGGUUCGAGGAGAACUUAAUAUACCAGAUCCAACUCCUCUACCUGGUGAAGAUGUAAAUAUUGGUUUUCCCUACUACUUUGUAGGUGACGAAGCAUUUCCGCUCAGAAGCGAUCUUAUGAAACCAUUUGCCCGCAAUCAACUUACCAAUGAAAGAAGAAUGUAUAAUUACAGAAUUUCUCGGGGACGCAAAUCAGUGGAAUGCUGCUUUGGUAUGUUAAGUACUAAAUUUGGAAUAUUGCAAACGCCCAUCUGUAUGAAAACGCAAAGGAUUGAUAUAAUAAUCCUAGCAAUAUGUGCUUUACAUAAUUUUAUUCGUAUUUACGAUGGAAUUUUUUCCACACCUAAACAACCAAACAAUAUUCAGCACAUACCUGUUCAGGAUUUGCAAAUACAAAGAAACACUCCACAAAAUUUAAGAAAUCGGCUUUGUAACUACUUUUGUAACAUUUCUCCCAUUCCAAACCAAGGAUAUUACAAUUUUUAAUAACUAUUUUUUAUUAGGUAUUACAAUACCAUGUUACCUCUACUACAUUUUUUGAGUUGUAAGUAUAACCUUACUUAUUAUAAUAAAUUAUUGGAUUAAAAAUUACCUGUUUCCUUAUUUGUUUUCGAGAUUUCAUUCCAGGCAGCAUCUUGUGCAGUUCUGUUGCAAUAAUCAGGUCGAUUAUAAUCAUAUAAACAUGGUUUUGAUUCAACUAAUUCGACAAAGCGAACAUUAAAUUCAAAAUCAUCCCGCAUUUUCAUGUCAAAACUAUGAAAACAUUCAAAACAACGAACGAGAUCGGACUGGCAUGCCGCUUUCCAUGCACCACUAGUGGUUACAAUAUGGCAUGUCAUUUCUGCACCGCUACCACGCCAUCUCAGUGUGCGUUGCUUAAUUCAUUUACAUUAUCUUUCUAUUGCCACUCGCCAGAACCACGCCGCUGCCAGACUUCCGCCACUUCUGUGGGCGCUGGGCCUAAUAUUCUGCGCGAUUCUCUGUGAAAGUUGCCGUUGUCGCUUCAAAAAGGACUUGACCCAAUCAGGUCCUGGCAUAUUGUUUUUAAAAGGCUUAACUUUUUUGCCUUGACGUUCUAGAUACGAUUUAACUAUAUAUCUUAGAUCAAAUGUACUUACGGGAAAACCAAAAGUUGACACAGUGAUAAUAUGGGCGGCAAAGGCAUCUUCUUCUUGGUCGGUGGUCAAUACUUCUUGUUGUCCAGGCCUGUUUUUGUGCCGUUCUUUAAUUUUCAGCCAUAAAGUAUUUCGAUGUAUACCAUAUUUACACAAAGUCGCUCCUCGUUUUGUACUUUUUUCGUAAAAAUAGAAAAAAACAAAUUAAAAAAAAACUCGAAAGUUUACAAUCUUUACAGUAAAGCAAGCAAACAUAUUAUACUUUAAUAUAAACUUACCUUAGUUAACAAAUCUUUCACGGUUUUUUGCGCUCAAUAGAAAGUUUACACACAAUUCAAAAAAACACCUGUUUGCCUAAUUUCCAACUCUGCACUGGUAUGAGGAGCGAUGUUUUGCUACCUGCUUUUGUCAUAUUGUUCUAUCGUUUUUAGCGACUUUUUA
rnacentral:misc_RNA from 1 species